rnacentral:piRNA from 1 species
UGCCUCAGGGAAAAAUACCCAAAUCAGGACC